GACGAACGCUGGCGGCGUGCUUAACACAUGCAAGUCGAGCGGUAAGGCCCUUUCGGGGGUACACGAGCGGCGAACGGGUGAGUAACACGUGGGUGACCUGCCCUCAGCUCUGGGAUAAGCCUGGGAAACCGGGUCUAAUACCGGAUAUGACUCCAUGACGCAUGUUGUGGGGUGGAAAGCCUUGUGCGGCUAAGGAUGGGCCCGCGGCCUAUCAGCUUGUUGGUGGGGUGANGGCCUACCAAGGCGACGACGGGUAGCCGGCCUGAGAGGGCGACCGGCCACACUGGGACUGAGACACGGCCCAGACUCCUACGGGAGGCAGCAGUGGGGAAUCUUGCGCAAUGGGCGAAAGCCUGACGCAGCGACGCCGCGUGAGGGAUGACGGCCUCGGUGUAACGU
rnacentral:rRNA from 1 species